CUUAUCAAGAGUGGCGGAGGAAACAGGUCCUAUGAAGCCCGGCAACCUGAUAUUCAAGGUGCUAAAUCCUGCGGUAUGACCGGAAGAUGAGG
rnacentral:ncRNA from 1 species